GAUGAACGCUGGCGGCGUGCCUAAUACAUGCAAGUCGAGCGAACAGACGAGGAACUUGCUCCUCUGACGUUAGCGGCGGACGGGUGAGUAACACGUGGAUAACCUACCUAUAAGACUGGGAUAACUUCGGGAAACGGGAGCUAAUACCGCAUAAUAUAUUUAAACACAUGGUUCAAUAGUGAAAGACGGAAUUGCUUCACCCUAUGGUUGUCUCCCGGCGUCAUUACCUGGUGGUGAAGGAAACGGCUUACAAAGCGAAGAAUCCGUGGCGGCCCGGGGAGGGUGACCGCCCACACUGGAAUGUGGCCCCGCCCCAGCCUCCACCGGGAGGAACAAGUAGGGAUUCUUCCGAAAUGGGCGAAGGCCUGACGGAGAACCGCCGCGGGAGUGAUGAAGGUCUCCGAAUCGUAAAACUCUGUUAUUAGGGAAGACCAAAUGUGUAAGUAAAUAUGCACGUAUUGACGGUACCUAAUCAGAAAGCCACGGCUAACUACGUG
rnacentral:rRNA from 1 species